GGGUUGUGAGGUUAAGCGACUAAGCGUACACGGUGGAUGCCCUGGCAGUCAGAGGCGAUGAAGGACGUGCUAAUCUGCGAAAAGCGUCGGUAAGGUGAUAUGAACCGUUAUAACCGGCGAUGUCCGAAUGGGGAAACCCAGUGUGAUUCGUCACACUAUCGUUAACUGAAUACAUAGGUUAACGAGGCGAACCGGGGGAACUGAAACAUCUAAGUACCCCGAGGAAAAGAAAUCAACCGAGAUUCCCCCAGUAGCGGCGAGCGAACGGGGAGCAGCCCAGAGUCUGAAUCAGCUUGUGUGUUAGUGGAACGGUCUGGAAAGUCCGACGGUACAGGGUGAUAGUCCCGUACACCAAAAUGCACAGGUUGUGAACUCGAAGAGUAGGGCGGGACACGUGGUAUCCUGUCUGAAUAUGGGGGGACCAUCCUCCAAGGCUAAAUACUCCUGACUGACCGAUAGUGAACCAGUACCGUGAGGGAAAGGCGAAAAGAACCCCGGCGAGGGGAGUGAAAAAGAACCUGAAACCGUGUACGUACAAGCAGUGGGAGCACCUUCGGGUGUGACUGCGUACCUUUUGUAUAAUGGGUCAGCGACUUAUAUUCUGUAGCAAGGUUAACCGUAUAGGGGAGCCGCAGGGAAACCGAGUCUUAACUGGGCGUUAAGUUGCAGGGUAUAGACCCGAAACCCGGUGAUCUAGCCAUGGGCAGGUUGAAGGUUGGGUAACACUAACUGGAGGACCGAACCGACUAAUGUUGAAAAAUUAGCGGAUGACUUGUGGCUGGGGGUGAAAGGCCAAUCAAACCGGGAGAUAGCUGGUUCUCCCCGAAAGCUAUUUAGGUAGCGCCUCGUGAACUCAUCUUCGGGGGUAGAGCACUGUUUCGGCUAGGGGGUCAUCCCGACUUACCAACCCGAUGCAAACUACGAAUACCGAAGAAUGUUAUCACGGGAGACACACGGCGGGUGCUAACGUCCGUCGUGAAGAGGGAAACAACCCAGACCGCCAGCUAAGGUCCCAAAGUCAUGGUUAAGUGGGAAACGAUGUGGGAAGGCACAGACAGCCAGGAUGUUGGCUUAGAAGCAGCCAUCAUUUAAAGAAAGCGUAAUAGCUCACUGGUCGAGUCGGCCUGCGCGGAAGAUGUAACGGGGCUAAACCAUGCACCGAAGCUGCGGCAGCGACACUAUGUGUUGUUGGGUAGGGGAGCGUUCUGUAAGCCUGCGAAGGUGUGCUGUGAGGCAUGCUGGAGGUAUCAGAAGUGCGAAUGCUGACAUAAGUAACGAUAAAGCGGGUGAAAAGCCCGCUCGCCGGAAGACCAAGGGUUCCUGUCCAACGUUAAUCGGGGCAGGGUGAGUCGACCCCUAAGGCGAGGCCGAAAGGCGUAGUCGAUGGGAAACAGGUUAAUAUUCCUGUACUUGGUGUUACUGCGAAGGGGGGACGGAGAAGGCUAUGUUAGCCGGGCGACGGUUGUCCCGGUUUAAGCAUGUAGGCUGGUUAUCCAGGCAAAUCCGGAUAAUCAAGGCUGAGGUGUGAUGACGAGGUACUACGGUGCUGAAGUAACAAAUGCCCUGCUUCCAGGAAAAGCCUCUAAGCAUCAGGUAACAUCAAAUCGUACCCCAAACCGACACAGGUGGUCAGGUAGAGAAUACCAAGGCGCUUGAGAGAACUCGGGUGAAGGAACUAGGCAAAAUGGUGCCGUAACUUCGGGAGAAGGCACGCUGGUGUGUAGGUGAAGUCCCUGCGGAUGGAGCUGAGACCAGUCGAAGAUACCAGCUGGCUGCAACUGUUUAUUAAAAACACAGCACUGUGCAAACACGAAAGUGGACGUAUACGGUGUGACGCCUGCCCGGUGCCGGAAGGUUAAUUGAUGGGGUUAUCCGUAAGGAGAAGCUCUUGAUCGAAGCCCCGGUAAACGGCGGCCGUAACUAUAACGGUCCUAAGGUAGCGAAAUUCCUUGUCGGGUAAGUUCCGACCUGCACGAAUGGCGUAAUGAUGGCCAGGCUGUCUCCACCCGAGACUCAGUGAAAUUGAACUCGCUGUGAAGAUGCAGUGUACCCGCGGCAAGACGGAAAGACCCCGUGAACCUUUACUAUAGCUUGACACUGAACAUUGAGCCUUGAUGUGUAGGAUAGGUGGGAGGCUUUGAAGCGUGGACGCCAGUCUGCGUGGAGCCAACCUUGAAAUACCACCCUUUAAUGUUUGAUGUUCUAACGUUGGCCCCUGACCGGGGUUGCGGACAGUGUCUGGUGGGUAGUUUGACUGGGGCGGUCUCCUCCCAAAGCGUAACGGAGGAGCACGAAGGUUAGCUAAUCCUGGUCGGACAUCAGGAGGUUAGUGCAAUGGCAUAAGCUAGCUUGACUGCGAGCGUGACGGCGCGAGCAGGUGCGAAAGCAGGUCAUAGUGAUCCGGUGGUUCUGAAUGGAAGGGCCAUCGCUCAACGGAUAAAAGGUACUCCGGGGAUAACAGGCUGAUACCGCCCAAGAGUUCAUAUCGACGGCGGUGUUUGGCACCUCGAUGUCGGCUCAUCACAUCCUGGGGCUGAAGUAGGUCCCAAGGGUAUGGCUGUUCGCCAUUUAAAGUGGUACGCGAGCUGGGUUUAGAACGUCGUGAGACAGUUCGGUCCCUAUCUGCCGUGGGCGCUGGAGAAUUGAGGGGGGCUGCUCCUAGUACGAGAGGACCGGAGUGGACGCAUCACUGGUGUUCGGGUUGUCAUGCCAAUGGCACUGCCCGGUAGCUAAAUGCGGAAGAGAUAAGUGCUGAAAGCAUCUAAGCACGAAACUUGCCCCGAGAUGAGUUCUCCCUGAGACUUUAAGUCUCCUGAAGGAACGUUAAAGACGAUGACGUUGAUAGGCCGGGUGUGUAAGCGCAGCGAUGCGUUGAGCUAACCGGUACUAAUGAACCGUGAGGCUUAACCUUACAACGCCGAAG
rnacentral:rRNA from 1 species